rnacentral:rRNA from 1 species
CAACUUUCAACAACGGAUCUCUUGGCUCUCGCAUCGAUGAAGAACGCAGCGAAAUGCGAUAAGUAAUGUGAAUUGCAAAAUUCAGUGAAUCAUCGAAUCUUUGAACGCACCUUGCGCCUCUUGGUAUUCCGAGGGGCACGCCUGUUUGAGUAUCGUGA